UAGGGAAUCUUCCGCAAUGGACGCAAGUCUGACGGAGCAACGCCGCGUGAGUGAAGAAGGAUUUCGGUUCGUAAAACUCUGUUGUUAGAGAAGAACAGCGCAUAGAGUAACUGUUAUGCCUGUGACGGUACUUAACCAGAAAGGGACGGCUAACUACGUGCCAGCAGCCGCGGUAAUACGUAGGUCCCGAGCGUUGUCCGGAUUUAUUGGGCGUAAAGCGAGCGCAGGCGGUCAAUUAAGUCUGAUGUGAAAGCCCCCGGCUCAACCGGGGAGGGUCAUUGGAAACUGGUUGACUUGAGUGCAGAAGAGGAGAGUGGAAUUCCAUGUGUAGCGGUGAAAUGCGUAGAUAUAUGGAGGAACACCAGUGGCGAAGGCGACUCUCUGGUCUGUAACUGACGCUGAGGCUCGAAAGCGUGGGUAGCAAACAGG
rnacentral:rRNA from 1 species